rnacentral:rRNA from 7 species
AGACAACUCUCAACAACGGAUAUCUUGGCUCUCGCAACGAUGAAGAACGCAGCGAAAUGCGAUACGUAGUGUGAAUUGCAGAAUUCCGUGAAUCAUCAAAUCUUUGAACGCAAAUUGCGCCCGAAGCUUCGGCUUAGGGCAUGUUUGCCUCAGCGUCGGGUU